UACAGAGGGUGCAAGCGUUAAUCGGAAUUACUGGGCGUAAAGCGUGCGUAGACGGUUACAUAAGUCGGGUGUGAAAGCCCCGGGCUCAACCUGGGUAUUGCAUUCGAGACUGCGUAGCUAGGGUGCGGAAGAGGGAAGCGGAAUUUCCGGUGUAGCGGUGAAAUGCGUAGAUAUCGGAAGGAACACCAGUGGCGAAAGCGGCUUCCUGGUCCAGCACCGACGUUCAGGCACGAAAGCGUGGGGAGCAAACAGG
rnacentral:rRNA from 1 species